AGUGAACGCUGGCGGUAUGCCUAACACAUGCAAGUCGAACGGCCGCACAGUAAGCGCUUUCUCUUACGGUUGGCGAGUGGCGGGCGGGUGAGGAAUGCAUCGGAAUCUACUUUUUCUUGGGUGAUUUCGUGGGGCAGCUUACGCUACUACCUCAUACUACCUACCGGUUGAAUCAGGAGUUCUUCAGACUUUUCGCGAUUCAUUUAGCUGAUGUCGCAUUAGCUAGUUGGCUGGGUAAGGGCCCACCAAGGCAACGAUACGUAGCUGACCUGAGAGGAUGAUCAGCCACACUGGAACUGAGACACGGUCCAGACUCCUACGGGAGGCAGCAGUGGGGAAUAUUGGACAAUGGGCGCAAGCCUGAUCCAGCAAUACCGCGUGGGUGAAGAAGGCCUUCGGGUUGUAAAGCUCUGUUGUUAGGAAAGAAAAGAAGCAGAUGAAUCCCUCGACGUUCUGACGGUACCCAAACAGAAAGCCCCGGCUAACUUCGUG
rnacentral:rRNA from 1 species